rnacentral:rRNA from 1 species
GAUGAACGCUAGCGGCAGGCCUAAUACAUGCAAGUCGAACGGUGUCUUCGGACAUAGUGGCGCACGGGUGCGUAACACGUAUGCAACCUACCUUACAUUGGGGGAUAGCCUUUCGAAAGGGAGAUUAAUACCGCAUAAGACAGUAGCUGGGCAUCCAGCAGCUGUUAAAGAUUUAUCGAUGUAAGCUGGGCAUGCGUCCAAUUAGCUAGUUGGUGAGGUAACGGCUCACCAAGGCAAUGAUUGGUAGGGGAACUGAGAGGUCAAUCCCCCACACUGGCACUGAGAUACGGGCCAGACUCCGACGGGAGGCAGCAGUAGGGAAUAUUGGGCAAUGGACGCAAGUCUGACCCAGCCAUGCCGCGCGCAGGAUGAAGGCGUUAUGCGUUGUAAACUGCUUUUAUACAGGAAGAAACGACUCUUGCGAGAGGCAUUGACGGUACUGUAUGAAUAAGCACCGGCUAACUCCGUGCCAGCCGCCGCGGUAAUAC